GAUUAAUAUACAAUCUUAUCUCAUACAAAAAUUUGAAUGAUACGUAGAUUGUAGAUUAGCAGGGCUCCUGCGCAAAAAUGAGAUGCUAAAUCGUAAAGCCUUCCAUUUUUUU